UCGGGAAUUUUGGGCAAUGGGCGAAAGCCUGACCCAGCAACGCCGCGUGAAGGAUGAAGUAUUUCGGUAUGUAAACUUCGUAAGAAUAGGAAGAAUAAAUGACGGUACUAUUUAUAAGGUCCGGCUAACUACGUGCCAGCAGCCGCGGUAAUACGUAGGGACCAAGCGUUGUUCGGAUUUACUGGGCGUAAAGGGCGCGUAGGCGGCAAUUCAAGUCAUCUGUGAAAUCUCCGGGCUUGACUCGGAACGGUCAGAUGAUACUGCUUUGCUAGAGUGCAGAAGGGGCAAUCGGAAUUCUUGGUGUAGCGGUGAAAUGCGUAGAUACCAAGAGGAACACCUGAGGUGAAGACGGGUUGCUGGGCUGACACUGACGCUGAGGCGCGAAAGCCAGGGGAGCAAACGGGAUUAGAUACCCACGUAGUCCCUGAGCGGGCUGGCAAGGCGCAU
rnacentral:rRNA from 1 species